rnacentral:rRNA from 1 species
UUAAGUUAUUAAGGGCGCACGGUGGAUGCCUUGGCACUAGAAGCCGAUGAAGGACGUUACUAACGACGAUAUGCUUUGGGGAGCUGUAAGUAAGCUUUGAUCCAGAGAUUUCCGAAUGGGGAAACCCAGCAUGAGUUAUGUCAUGUUAUCGAUAUGUGAAUACAUAGCAUAUCAGAAGGCACACCCGGAGAACUGAAACAUCUUAGUACCCGGAGGAAGAGAAAGAAAAUUCGAUUCCCUUAGUAGCGGCGAGCGAAACGGGAAGAGCCCAAACCAACAAGCUUGCUUGUUGGGGUUGUAGGACACUCUAUACGGAGUUACAAAGGACGACAUUAGACGAAUCAUCUGGAAAGAUGAAUCAAAGAAGGUAAUAAUCCUGUAGUCGAAAAUGUUGUCUCUCUUGAGUGGAUCCUGAGUACGACGGAGCACGUGAAAUUCCGUCGGAAUCUGGGAGGACCAUCUCCUAAGGCUAAAUACUCUCUAGUGACCGAUAGUGAACCAGUACCGUGAGGGAAAGGUGAAAAGCACCCCGGAAGGGGAGUGAAAUAGAACCUGAAACCGUGUGCUUACAAGUAGUCAGAGCCCGUUAAUGGGUGAUGGCGUGCCUUUUGUAGAAUGAACCGGCGAGUUACGAUUUGAUGCAAGGUUAAGCAGUAAAUGUGGAGCCGUAGCGAAAGCGAGUCUGAAUAGGGCGUUUAGUAUUUGGUCGUAGACCCGAAACCAGGUGAUCUACCCUUGGUCAGGUUGAAGUUCAGGUAACACUGAAUGGAGGACCGAACCGACUUACGUUGAAAAGUGAGCGGAUGAACUGAGGGUAGCGGAGAAAUUCCAAUCGAACCUGGAGAUAGCUGGUUCUCUCCGAAAUAGCUUUAGGGCUAGCCUCAAGUGAUGAUUAUUGGAGGUAGAGCACUGUUUGGACGAGGGGCCCCUCUCGGGUUACCGAAUUCAGACAAACUCCGAAUGCCAAUUAAUUUAACUUGGGAGUCAGAACAUGGGUGAUAAGGUCCGUGUUCGAAAGGGAAACAGCCCAGACCACCAGCUAAGGUCCCAAAAUAUAUGUUAAGUGGAAAAGGAUGUGGCGUUGCCCAGACAACUAGGAUGUUGGCUUAGAAGCAGCCAUCAUUUAAAGAGUGCGUAAUAGCUCACUAGUCGAGUGACACUGCGCCGAAAAUGUACCGGGGCUAAACAUAUUACCGAAGCUGUGGAUUGUCCUUUGGACAAUGGUAGGAGAGCGUUCUAAGGGCGUUGAAGCAUGAUCGUAAGGACAUGUGGAGCGCUUAGAAGUGAGAAUGCCGGUGUGAGUAGCGAAAGACGGGUGAGAAUCCCGUCCACCGAUUGACUAAGGUUUCCAGAGGAAGGCUCGUCCGCUCUGGGUUAGUCGGGUCCUAAGCUGAGGCCGACAGGCGUAGGCGAUGGAUAACAGGUUGAUAUUCCUGUACCACCUAUAAUCGUUUUAAUCGAUGGGGGGACGCAGUAGGAUAGGCGAAGCGUGCGAUUGGAUUGCACGUCUAAGCAGUAAGGCUGAGUAUUAGGCAAAUCCGGUACUCGUUAAGGCUGAGCUGUGAUGGGGAGAAGACAUUGAGUCUUCGAGUCGUUGAUUUCACACUGCCGAGAAAAGCCUCUAGAUAGAAAAUAGGUGCCCGUACCGCAAACCGACACAGGUAGUCAAGAUGAGAAUUCUAAGGUGAGCGAGCGAACUCUCGUUAAGGAACUCGGCAAAAUGACCCCGUAACUUCGGGAGAAGGGGUGCUCUUUAGGGUUAACGCCCAGAAGAGCCGCAGUGAAUAGGCCCAAGCGACUGUUUAUCAAAAACACAGGUCUCUGCUAAACCGUAAGGUGAUGUAUAGGGGCUGACGCCUGCCCGGUGCUGGAAGGUUAAGAGGAGUGGUUAGCUUCUGCGAAGCUACGAAUCGAAGCCCCAGUAAACGGCGGCCGUAACUAUAACGGUCCUAAGGUAGCGAAAUUCCUUGUCGGGUAAGUUCCGACCCGCACGAAAGGCGUAACGAUUUGGGCACUGUCUCAACGAGAGACUCGGUGAAAUCAUAGUACCUGUGAAGAUGCAGGUUACCCGCGACAGGACGGAAAGACCCCGUGGAGCUUUACUGUAGCCUGAUAUUGAAAUUCGGCACAGCUUGUACAGGAUAGGUAGGAGCCUUUGAAACGUGAGCGCUAGCUUACGUGGAGGCGCUGGUGGGAUACUACCCUAGCUGUGUUGGCUUUCUAACCCGCACCACUUAUCGUGGUGGGAGACAGUGUCAGGCGGGCAGUUUGACUGGGGCGGUCGCCUCCUAAAAGGUAACGGAGGCGCUCAAAGGUUCCCUCAGAAUGGUUGGAAAUCAUUCAUAGAGUGUAAAGGCAUAAGGGAGCUUGACUGCGAGACCUACAAGUCGAGCAGGGUCGAAAGACGGACUUAGUGAUCCGGUGGUUCCGCAUGGAAGGGCCAUCGCUCAACGGAUAAAAGCUACCCCGGGGAUAACAGGCUUAUCUCCCCCAAGAGUUCACAUCGACGGGGAGGUUUGGCACCUCGAUGUCGGCUCAUCGCAUCCUGGGGCUGUAGUCGGUCCCAAGGGUUGGGCUGUUCGCCCAUUAAAGCGGUACGCGAGCUGGGUUCAGAAC